ACUGAAGCUUACCUUAGCGGCGGACGGGUGAGUAACACGUGGGCAACCUGCCUCAGAGUGGGGGAUAACACCGAGAAAUCGGUGCUAAUACCGCAUAACAUACACUUCCUGCAUGGGAAGAGUAUCAAAGGAGUAAUCCGCUUUGAGAUGGGCCCGCGGCUGAUUAGCUAGUUGGUAAGGUAACGGCUUACCAAGGCGACGAUCAGUAGCCGACCUGAGAGGGUGACCGGCCACACUGGAACUGAGACACGGUCCAGACUCCUACGGGAGGCAGCAGUGGGGAAUAUUGCGCAAUGGGGGAAACCCUGACGCAGCAACGCCGCGUGGAGGAAGAAGGUCUUCGGAUUGUAAACUCCUGUCUUCUGGGACGAUAAUGACGGUACCAGAGGAGGAAGCCACGGCUAACUACGUGCCAGCAGCCGCGGUAAUACGUAGGUGGCGAGCGUUGUCCGGAAUUACUGGGCGUAAAGGGCGCGUAGGCGGCUCUUUAAGUCAGAUGUGAAAACCCGAGGCUUAACUUCGGGAGUGCAUUUGAAACUGAAGGGCUCGAGUGCAGGAGAGGUAAGUGGAAUUCCUAGUGUAGCGGUGAAAUGCGUAGAUAUUAGGAGGAACACCAGUGGCGAAGGCGACUUACUGGACUGUAACUGACGCUGAGGCGCGAAAGCGUGGGGAGCAAACAGGAUUAGAGACCCCGGUAGUCCUAGCUGUAAACGAUGUAGACUUGGCGUUGGAGGGGUUAAAUCCUUCAGUGCCGAAGCAAACGCGAUAAGUCUACCGCCUGGGGACUACGGCCGCAAGGUUAAAACUCAAAGGAAUUGACGGGGCCCCGCACAAGCAGCGGAGCGUGUGGUUUAAUUCGAUGAUACACGAAGAACCUUACCAGGGUUUGACAUGCUAGUGGUAGGGAUCCGAAAGGUGACCGACCCCUCGGGGAGCUAGCACAGGUGCUGCAUGGCUGUCGUCAGCUCGUGUCGUGAGAUGUUCGGUUAAGUCCGCUAACGAGCGCAACCCUUGUUGUGUGUUACAUGUGUCACACGAGACUGCCGGUCUUAAACCGGAGGAAGGUGGGGAUGACGUCAAGUCAGCAUGGCCUUUAUGUCCUGGGCUACACACACGCUACAAUGGCCGGUACAAUAGGUUGCGAAGCCGCGAGGCGGAGCCAAUCCUCAAAGCCGGCCUCAGUUCAGAUUGCAGGCUGCAACCCGCCUGCAUGAAGAUGGAGUUGCUAGUAACCGCAGGUCAGCUAUACUGCGGUGAAUACGUUCCCGGGG
rnacentral:rRNA from 1 species